UAUGGAAACUUACUUUCACAUAAAAGUGUCCUCCUGUCGGAUGUUCAUUUUAAACACUUUUACUAAAUAGCAUAUUGGAAAAAAUCUCACUUUCUGGAAACACCCUCCCUGCCACAUAAUGCCUCUGGUCACCACGGUGUCCUGUAGAUCUCACAGAGUGUCCCUGUGAUCUCACGAUAGCCUCGUGAGUUGGGCAGGAGGUGUGGGGGUUCCUGAACUGGCUCCACAGAUGGGGAAACUGAGGCCCAGAGCCAGGGAAGCACGGAUCAGAUGGAACUUCACCUCCAUCAAAGAUCCUUAGCCAAACAACCCGCACAGCUGUGACUGCGGGUGACAAAUGACUUCGGCAGCACGACUGUCAUGGCUUCUCCCUAAUGCAGUGUUUGGCAUCCAGCUCAAAACAGAAAUAAAUAAGGUGAUAUGAUCCGCUAAUGAAGUUUGCUGCUUGUUUGAAACUGAACACUGAACAGAAGGUUGAAAAAAAUGAGGGACCAGAGGACUAACUCACCAAAGGCAGUAAGACACAGAUGAAAAAUAUUCGCUAGCAUCGAGCUGUUGGUGUUAUCAGCAUUAAUAAACAACGCCCGUACUUAGAAGCGUGUCUCCUAAUCACAGAGCCAAAAUACCCAAAAUGAUGUUUGGUUGAUGUUUCUUGAUUUUUUUUUUUUCCUAACAAAAUGUGAUAGCAUUUCAAUUCAAAUUAAUUAGAUUAUUGAGUAUUCUAUUAUGCUGUCCAUCUAAGACCAGGAAAACGUAGAGCCUUCAUCAAAGUAUACUUUUUUCAUUUCUCUAAUCCUCACUGCAUUUAUUGUUUGAAAAUGGAAGCCAAUGUUUCUCCAUG